rnacentral:rRNA from 1 species
UGGGGAAUCUUGCGCAAUGGGCGAAAGCCUGACGCAGCGACGCCGCGUGGGUGAUGAAGGCCUUCGGGUUGUAAAGCCCUGUGGGGAGGGAAGAAUAAGCGCAGGUUAAUACCCGGCGUGAUGACGGUACCUCCUUAGCAAGCACCGGCUAACUCUGUGCCAGCAGCCGCGGUAAGACAGAGGGUGCGAACGUUGUUCGGAAUUACUGGGCGUAAAGCGCGUGUAGGCGGUCUCGCAAGUCGGGCGUGAAAGCCCUGGGCUCAACCUAGGAAGUGCGCUCGAAACUGCGAGACUGGAGUUCCGGAGAGGAUGGUGGAAUUCUCGGUGUAGAGGUGAAAUUCGUAGAUAUCGAGAGGAACACCGGUGGCGAAGGCGGCCAUCUGGACGGAAACUGACGCUGAGACGCGAAAGCGUGGGUAGCAAACAGG